rnacentral:rRNA from 1 species
UACGUAGGUGGCAAGCGUUGUCCGGAUUUAUUGGGCGUAAAGGGAGCGCAGGCGGUGACUUAAGUCUGACGUGAAAGCCCACGGCUCAACCGUGGAAGGUCAUUGGAAACUGGGUCACUUGAAUAUAGAAGAGGAAAGUGGAAUUCCAUGUGUAGCGGUGAAAUGCGUAGAUAUAUGGAGGAACACCAGUGGCGAAGGCGACUUUCUGGUCUAUUAUUGACGCUGAGGCUCGAAAGCAUGGGUAGCAAACAGGAUUAGAUACCCU